GACGAACGCUGGCGGCGUGCUUAACACAUGCAAGUCGAACGGAAAGGCCCUGCUUUUGUGGGGUGCUCGAGUGGCGAACGGGUGAGUAACACGUGAGUGACCUGCCCUUGACUUUGGGAUAACUUCAGGAAACUGGGGCUAAUACCGGAUAGGAGCUCCUGCUGCAUGGUGGGGGUUGGAAAGUUUCGGCGGUUGGGGAUGGACUCGCGGCUUAUCAGCUUGUUGGUGGGGUAGUGGCUUACCAAGGCUUUGACGGGUAGCCGGCCUGAGAGGGUGACCGGCCACAUUGGGACUGAGAUACGGCCCAGACUCCUACGGGAGGCAGCAGUGGGGAAUAUUGCACAAUGGGCGGAAGCCUGAUGCAGCAACGCCGCGUGCGGGAUGACGGCCUUCGGGUUGUAAACCGCUUUCGCCUGUGACGAAGCGUGAGUGACGGUAAUGGGUAAAGAAGCACCGGCUAACUACGUG
rnacentral:rRNA from 1 species